GAUGAGCGCUGACAGAAUGCUUAACACAUGCAAGUCGAGGGGCAGCACAAGGCAGCAAUGCUGAGGUGGCGACCGGCGCACGGGUGAGUAACGCGUAUGCAACUUACCUAUCAGAGGGGGAUAACCCGGCGAAAGUCGGACUAAUACCGCAUAAAGCAGGGGCCCCGCAUGGGGAUAUUUGCUAAAGAUUCAUCGCUGAUAGAUAGGCAUGCGUUCCAUUAGGCAGUUGGCGGGGUAACGGCCCACCAAACCUACGAUGGAUAGGGGUUCUGGGAGGAAGGUCCCCCACACUGGUACGGAGACACGGACCAGACUCCUACGGGAGGCAGCAGUGAGGAAUAUUGGUCAAUGGGCGAGAGCCUGAACCAGCCAAGUCGCGUGAGGGAUGAAGGUUCUAUGGAUCGUAAACCUCUUUUACACGGGAAUAAAGUGGGGGACGUGUCCCCCUUUGUAUGUACCGUAUGAAUAAGGAUCGGCUAACUCCGUGCCAGCCGCCGCAGUAACAC
rnacentral:rRNA from 1 species